UGGGGAAUCUUGCACAAUGGGCGAAAGCCUGAUGCAGCAACGCCGCGUGUGUGAUGAAGGUUUUCGGAUCGUAAAGCACUUUCGACCGGGACGAAUAAGCUUCACCUAAUACGUGAGGCCCUGACGGUACCGGGAGAAGAAGCACCGGCUAACUCUGUGCCAGCAGCCGCGGUAAUACAGAGGGUGCAAGCGUUGUUCGGAAUUAUUGGGCGUAAAGCGCGUGUAGGCGGCUUGUUAAGUCGGGUGUGAAAGCCCUCAGCUCAACUGAGGAAGUGCGCCCGAAACUGGCGAGCUUGAGUGCCGGAGAGGAUGGCGGAAUACCCCAAGUAGAGGUGAAAUUCGUAGAUAUGGGGUGGAACACCGGUGGCGAAGGCGGCCAUCUGGACGGCAACUGACGCUG
rnacentral:rRNA from 1 species